CCACCACCCAAUCACCUGCACACCUGUUCCCUAUGAGCCAUCAUCACUUCCUGGAUUUAAGCCUGCCAGAACCGGGAAUUCAACGUCAGCGUAUUGACGGACAACUCUCAUGAUUACUCUCAUACUCCUUUAGUUCUUGGUAUCCCCUGGCUCAAGAAGCACAACCCCGCCAUCGACUGGACCCAUCUAUCGAUCACCGGGUGGAGUCCUUUCUGUCAUUACCAUUGUCUUCUUUCGGCCGUUGCUGGAGGGCGAUCAAACCUCAGCCAUCUGCCACACUUGUUGACCUCUUUCGGGUUUUGGAAGACUACCACGACCUCUCUCCUGUCUUCGGUAAAGUCAUCAUCUCACUUCCCUCCCACCGCCCCUAUAACUGCGGCAUUGACCUGCUGCCUGGACGCCCUCUCCCCUCCAGCCACCUCUAUAACCUUGCCCACCCAGAAAAGGAAGCCAUGGAGAAUUACAUCCGUGACUCCCUUGCCUCCAGACUUAUCUGACACUCUUCUUCCCCCCUGGGGGCCGGAUUCUUCUUUGUUGAUAAAAAAGACACCACUCUCCGCCCCUGCAUUGACUUUUGAGGCCUCAACAACAUUACUGUGAAAAAUCAAGCCCCACUACCUCUUAUAGACCAUUCCUUCAAACUCCUCUGUGACACCCAAAUAUUCACAAAGUUGGAUCUACGCAACGCCUACCAUCUCAUCCGCAUUAUGGAGGGGGACGAAUGGAAAACCACCUUCAAUGAGGCUGCACGCAACCCUGCCUCCUGGCGCACCUUUCUCCAGAACAAGAACACAUUGUGGCGGUUCCUUCGGUGAAGGAGCACCUUCGACAGGUGCAAUCCGUUUGGAAGGACGUCAGGGCUGCUUUGGGUCGGAGAGCCGAAAGGAAUAAGCGGUUGGCGGCCUUGCAUCGCUCCCCUAUGCCUGUUUACAAGUCACCACCACCCACUCACCUGCACACCUGUUCCCUAUCAGCCAUCAUCACUUCCUGCAUUUAAGCCUGCCAGAACCGGGAAUCCGAUGCCAGAUGCUCCUUCCGUGCCACCUGCCUCGCUGUCUGUUCCAGCCACGCUCCUUCUCUGGCCCGUGCUCCCACUUCCUGCACGUUCCCUGCUCCGGCCAACCAGCCUUUCUUUGAAUAUCCUUCCUCUGAGAGAUCCCUUUUAAUAAACCAUUUCUAUCUAC